UCUUCGGUAGUAUAGUGGUCAGUAUCCCCGCCUGUCACGCGGGAGACCGGGGUUCGAUUCCCCGCCGAAGAG
rfam:Papilio machaon contig65039, whole genome shotgun sequence.